rnacentral:rRNA from 1 species
UGCAUGAGGUUGGAAUCGCUAGUAAUCGCGGAUCAGCAUGCCGCGGUGAAUACGUUCCCGGGCCUUGUACACACCGCCCGUCACACCAUGAGAGUCGGAACACCCGAAGUCCGUAGCCUGACCGCAAGGGGGGCGCGGCCGAAGGUGGGUUCGAUAAUUGGGGUGAAGUCGUAACAAGGUAUC